UAUCAUCAGAUACUAAACAGCAGAGUGACCUUGCUGCUGAAAACUAUAUGGCCUUUGCUGAUUGAUCUGUAGCUGCCUAGUGUUACUUUUUAAUUAUCCAGUAGUCCUGUGUUCCAGGAGCUAUCAUUUGACUCAUUGUGUCUAAUAUUGACCCAGAUGCUCUGAAUUGCCAGUCUUGAUAAAGGUCCUAUAAUAGGACCGAAACGUCGAAUGUUAAAGGCAACGUUAUUGAACCUGAUUAACCUGAAUAAACUGAUUGACACAUCAA